GGGGGGGGCACGGGACCUCAGGGCAGCAGCACUGGACACCUUCCCCCUGAUGUCUGAGCCUCACGCAGCAGCCCCCCUGGACGCCUUCCCCCCAGUGCCACCAGGGAAAGGAUCUCUUGUUCUGUUCGCUGAUUCCCCAAAUGCCUGCUACUGGGACCAGCACACAGGAGGCGCUUAAUUUGCUGAAUGAAUGGAAACUGGGUAAACAUCAGUGAUUGAAAAGGAAUCUUAAAUGCAGCUGGCAGUCUGGUGCGCAUGCUGACGUUCAUUUCUGCCCCCGUCCUUCCGAAGCUAGGUGUGGGUCCUGGAGGGUAAAGUCCACCUACCAGUUCCUCAACUAGGAUGCGGAGUCUUUGCAUUCCAAGGGAAUCAUUACACCGAGAUUAAAGUAACCAAACCGGCCAGAGCCUAGGGGAGGAAACUGCAAAAAGUUGUGGGGGUGGGGAGCGGAAGAGGAAGUAUCCCUCCAGGACUUGUUAUCUCCAGACCACUGGGAAGAUUAAAAAAAAAAAUUGAAAUGGGAGAUUGUUAAUUGACCCAGAUAUUGGAAAAGUGGAACCUCCUCAAGUCUCAUGGGUAACACCUUAAUAAUUAGGACACUUAUUAUAUUUGUAGUAAAUAUAAAGUUAGGGUGGCAAAGGAGACACCCUACUCCAGCACCCUGGACACAGAUUACGAGGAAAACCAGGAGGCCAGAGUCUCCAUCUGUGUCAUCUGUUCCUCAAGAAAGCAAUCUCAGAAGGACACCAUCAUCAGGCAUAGGUAGUAAAAGUAACAUUAAGGGGUUUUUUUCCAGAGUUUGUGGUAUCUUCUUAAGAAAUGUUACAAUUUGGGAUCCCUGGGUGGCGCAGCGGUUUGGCGCCUGCCUUUGGCCCAGGGCGCGAUCCUGGAGACCCGGGAUCGAAUCC